GCCAAAUGUCCACAGUAGUCUCCAGAUAUUGCCAAAUGUCCACAGUAGUCUCCAGAUAUUGCCAAAUGUCCACAGGAACCAAAAUCACCCCUAGUUGAGAACCACUGCUCUAGAGCCCAAGAAUCUCUCAAGGGAUUGUACUUUAGGAUGGAACUUCUGAGUCAUAGAGCAUGUGUAUCUUCAAGUUUUUGAGAUAAUGCAAACAUAUUUUCCCAAGAAAAUGAUCAAGUUUACAGCACCACCAACAGUGCAGAAGUGCAUUAUUGCUCCACUUCUUAAAAUCUCUUAGAAAAAGCAUAAAUGAUGAUGUAUGACUUCGAGACUUUCUCUUUUGGAUCAUCGAUUCUGGAGGAAGCCAACUGUCAAAUUGCCAUAUGGAAAGACCUAUGUUUUGAGGAACUGAUGCCUCCAGUCAACAGCCAGACAGGAACUGAAGUCUCUUGCAGACAGCAGUGUAAGUGAGCUUGGAAGUAGAUCCACUAACCCCAGUCAAGCUUUCAGGUCGCUACAUCCUCAGCUGACAUCUUGAUUGCAACCUCACAAAAGACCAUGAACAGAACCAUAUAACUAAGCUUCUCUUGAAUGCUUGACCUGCAGAAACUAACAAGCAUUGAAUUGGGAAAUAGAAGACCUGACGUCUAGACCUAUGAAGUGUUGGACCUGGUAAAACGUAGUGCCUCAAACUCCUUAUCUGUAACUUGAGGGAUGUUCCUAAGGUUCUUUAAAGCUCUAAAACAAUUUAUGGUUUCCUAUUGUUCCCUAUAUAUUUGUGGUUCUUUGUUAUCUCAGGGACUUUCUCCACGCUAGUUCCUUUAAAUUUUGUAAGUCUCCAAAACUGCCUGGUUCCUUUCUGAUGCAACAAUAAAUACUUAUAUCUGCAUUGCACUAAAUAAUUUGUCAAAAGCCUUCACAAGCACAAUUGCUUUUGAUUUUCAUAAUAAUACUUCCUGAUAGACAUUAUUUUCCCCGUUGUAUAAAUGAGAACACUGAGGUUCAGAGAGGUCCCAUGACUAAUAAGUAGAGUGUCAAGUGGUGGACCCACAUCUUUCGACUCCAAGUCCAAUGUUCUUUUCACUUCUCUACAAUGUCAGGAAAAGAACCUAGAAGGAUGCACAGUUUUGUGUUUUUGUACAAGAUAAACAAGAAUAUAAAUUAGUAUUUGAAUAUUCAUUACAAGUUUUUGGCCUGGUCUCCAGACAAA
rnacentral:lncRNA from 1 species